rnacentral:rRNA from 1 species
ACGCUGGCGGCGUGGCUAAAACAUGCAAGUCGAACGGAACUGUUUUUGGGUAACUAGAGACAGUUUAGUGGCGAAAGGGUGAGUAAUGCAUGGGUAACGUACCCCGAGCACCGGGAUAGCAGCGUCCACUUCGGUGGACUUCCGAAAGGGCUGGUAAUACCGGAUGUGGCCAAGAGAACCACGGUUCUUUUGGUCAAAGGUAGGGACCUUCGGGCCUAUCGGCUUGGGAGCGACCCAUGUUCCAUCAGCUGGUAGGGUAAUGGCCUACCAAGGCAACGACGGAUACCGGGGCUGAGAGGCUGAUCCGGCACAUUGGGACUGAGACACUGCCCAGACCCCCACGGGGGGCUGCAGUAACGAAUAUUCCGCAAUGGGCGAAAGCCUGACGGAGCGACGCCGCGUGUGGAUGAAUUCCCUCGGGAUGUAAACCACUGUCAGGGCUAUGGAAACAAUCCGCAGUAAUAUGGCGGGGCGUUGACCUAACCCAAAGGAAGCCACGGCUAACUUCGUGCCAGCAGCCGCGGUAAUACGAAGGUGGCGAGCGUUGUUCGGAAUAACUGGGCUUAAAGAGCACGUAGGUGGCCAAUCAAGCAUCUUGUGAAAUCCCUCGGCUUAACCGAGGAAUUGCGAGGUGAACUGGUUGGCUUGAGCUACGCAAGGGCGACUGGAACUCUAGGUGGAGUAGUGAAAUGCGUAGAUAUCUAGAGGAACGCCAGUGGUGAAAACGGGUCGCUGGGCGUAUGCUGACACUGAGGUGCGAAAGCGUGGGUAGCGAACGGGAUUAGAUACCCCGGUAGUCCACGCCGUAAACGAUGGGCACUAGGUUCGGGUAGGUUUGACCCUUUCCGGGCCGAAGCAAAAGUACUAAGUGCCCCGCCUGGGGAGUACGGUCGCAAGGCUAAAACUCAAAGGAAUUGACGGGGGCUCACACAAGCGGUGGAGCAUGUGGCUCAAUUCGAGGCAACGCGAAGAACCUUAUCCUAGGCUUGACAUGGUUGGAUGCUCUUAGCGAAAGCUAAGCAGGCUGCCCUUUGGGUGAAACUUCCACAGGUGCUGCAUGGCUGUCGUCAGCUCGUGCUGUGAAGUGUUGGGUUAAGUCCCCUAACGAGCGAAACCCUUGUCUCUAGUUACCAGCGGAUUAUGCCGGGGACUCUAGAGAGACUGCCGGUGUUAAACCGGAGGAAGGUGGGGAUGACGUCAAGUCCUCAUGGCCUUUAUGCCUAGGGCUGCACACGUGCUACAAUGGCUGGUACAAACCGAUGCGAUACCGCGAGGUGGAGCAAAUCGGAAAAAAGCAGUCUCAGUUCGGAUUGCAGGCC